CGAGACCGAGUUCCAGACCGAGUCUGAGUCUCAAGUACUCAACACUGGAUCCAACCUCCAAAUGACAAAACUAAUUUGAAUGAACAAAUUAAUAAAAUAUUGUGUGAUCUAUAAAUGAAAGAGUUAAAACAAUGCAAUAAGUUUUAUUUUGAUUGGCAUGACUUCAAUAAGUAGCCUAUAUAGAUCUCAUUGGCAUAAUCACAGUGCUCUCCAGAUCAUAGACCAGCUAUUGUACAAUACAUAGCUAUGCUAAAUACAGUACUGUUUAUCACUUUAUGAUUUGCACUUUACAAAAUUGCCAGUGCAUGCAGAAAUAUUACCCGCAGAUUCUUGAAUUAGACUGAAUUAGAUUGCCUGCUAAAACAGUUCACAUAAAAAAGAAGGUAUUUAGUCAUUUCCUGAGACUAAGAGUAAACUCUCACUCAGGAAGUAAUGUGCCAAGUUUGACAAUCUGUUUUAUGAGAACUACUCAUCGACAUAAAACAUAUGCUCAGAGAUCAUAUUAAUGCCAAAAUGGAAGUUGAUUUGGCCUUUUUGAAGUCCGCAAAAGGUCUACUGAAAAUGUCAGAAAUGGUAUGUGUCUUUGUGGCUUUUGUGCGUUAUGCAGUGGCAUCUAGGCCGCCCUACAUUGCAGCGACAUGCAUGGAAUUUUUCAUCACACUUGGUUUUUUUCUGCUCUACCUACUGAAACUCAACAAGAUUUUCACUCUCUUCUUCUGGCCUCUUAUUCUGCACUGAUGUGUAUUCUUAGCCUGGUAGCAGUUUCCACAUACACAGUGAAGGCCACUUUGAGCGGAGGGAUCGUGGGUUUUGUGGCUGCAGCCUUGUGGUCUUUGGAUGGUUAUAUCCAUUUCAAAAAAAUCAAAUUCAAC